rnacentral:lncRNA from 1 species
ACAAUAAUACUUUAAGCAUACUAGCAUAGUAAUCAUGAACUUUUGAAAUAACAAGGCCAAAGAAAGUUAUCCCUACAAAAUCAUAUAGUCUGGCUAUGCUCCAUCAUCCCCACACAACGAAUUUAAAUCAUGCACAACCCCGGUAUUGGCCAAGUAAUUGUUUUUUCACUCUUACUUUCUCAAACUUUUUGAACUCUCACGCAAUACAUGAGCGUGAGCCAUGGAUAUAGCACUAUAGGUGGAAUAGAGUGUGGUAGAGGUUGUGAGGCAAAAAGGAGGAGAUGGUCACAUUGACUCGGCGUAUCAAUGGGCUAUGGAUACACCCAUCAAUAGAUAUCAAUGUGAAUGAGUAGGAAUUGCCAUGCAACAGAUGCACUAGAGCUAUAAGUGUAUGGAAGCUCAAAAAGAAAACUAGUGGGUGUGCACCUAACUUGCUUGCUCACGAAGACCUAGGGCAAUUUUGAGGAAGCCCGUCAUUUGGAAUAUACAAGCCAAGUUAUAAAAUGAAAAUUCCCACUAGUAUAUGGAAGUGACAAAACAAGAGACUCUCUAUCAUGAAGAACAUGGUGCUAUUUUGAAGCACAAGUGUGGAAAAAGAUAGUAGCAUUUUGUCACGCCCAAGAUGCGACCCUAUCCUCAAUUUGGCACGAAGGCCUCGUCAGGGAUAGAAGCGCAUCUCGUCGUGUCGCAAUAAUGGAUAUCGUUACAAGUACAUGUACUGAAAAGAUGAGAUAUACAUAGAAUUGGCUUACAC